GAUGAAGAACGUAGCGAAACGCGAUAGUUAAUGUGAAUUGCAGAAUUCAGUGAAUCAUCGAGUCUUUGAACGCACAUUGCGCCCCCUGGUAUUCCGGGGGGCAUGCCUGUCCGAGCGUCAUUGCUGCCCUCAAGCACGGCUUGUGUGUUGGGCCUCCGCCCCCCGGCUCCCGGGGGGCGGGCCCGAAAGGCAGCGGCGGCACCGCGUCCGGUCCUCGAGCGUAUGGGGCUUCGUCACCCGCUCCGUAGGCCCGGCCGGCGCCCGCCGGCGACCCCCCUCAAUCUUUCCAGGUUGACCUCGGAUCAGGUAGGGAUACCCGCUGAACUUAAGCAUAUCAAUAAGCGGAGGA
rnacentral:misc_RNA from 1 species